AGCAGCUAGAAUUUGCAGGACCUCUACUGGC
rnacentral:piRNA from 1 species